rnacentral:rRNA from 1 species
UACGUAGGGGGCAAGCGUUGUCCGGAAUUAUUGGGCGUAAAGCGCGUGCAGGCGGCGGUUUAAGUCGGAUGUUUAAGAUCGGGGCUCAACCCCGAUUCGCAUCCGAAACUGGGCCGCUUGAGUGUAGGAGAGGAAAGUGGAAUUCCACGUGUAGCGGUGAAAUGCGUAGAGAUGUGGAGGAACACCAGUGGCGAAGGCGACUUUCUGGCCUAUAACUGACGCUGAGGCGCGAAAGCGUGGGGAGCAAACAGG